rnacentral:lncRNA from 10 species
AGACAGCCAUGUAGUUUAGCAGGGGCAGCAUUGACAGAAACCAGAGAGCUGUAAAUGCCACACUGGGGUGGCUGGGCCACAUGUGCUAUUAACCAGACAGUCUUGUUCCAUGUCUGGAGUCUGAGCACAUUUUAGGCCCUGGUGGCUGGGCAGCACCCUGUGGGGACCGUUAACCACUUAGCUGAGACCCGUUGAGCAGAUGCCUCUGAAAUCUAUGCUGGCAAUAACCUACGAAAUACUGGGAUAUACGCACAAAGAUCCAUGUGCCAGGAUAUGUGUUGGAGGAUUUAUAUUUGGAGAAAAUUAAAUGCGCAAUGAGAGGUGCUGUUAUUAUUCCCACUUUACAGAGGGGAAGGCUGAAGCUCAAAGAAGCAAGGCAACUCUCAGGGGUCACAGAAGUGAUAAACUGAGGAGUUGGAAUUCCAGAGUCCAAGCUGGUGACGAGCACCGUGAACUCCUCUUCUCUGGCCACCACUCUACUCUACAACAAAGUCUAUAAAUUAUGGCCAUGGCCAGAUCCAGCUCGCCACCUGUUUCUCUGCUGUUCCCAAGGAAGUACGGGACGGAAAUUAAAGAAGAAAGUGGUUCCACAGCCACUGUUGCCGCAACUAAUUUUGUGCAGCUGUAACUCAACAUCACCUGCCUCAGCCUUUGCUAUCUCUAACUUCCCAUGUCAGGGCUACUCUGACGCCUCUGUCCAUGGGAAUCUACCUUUCCAUCACGCACAUGCAUCCUGGAAGUGAAAUGGAAUUAACCACCCAUAAGCAACCCUUGACCAAUGGGGAAUGUGAGCUGGGGAAUAAAUGCUUCUUUCUUCCAUUCUUUAGGCAGGACAUUUUGAGACGCAAUUAGAUUUUUGUUGUUGUUGUUUACGAGGUCUUAGCUUGGAUCAACCCCCAGUUACCCCCAGUAAUGACCGAUUCAAGAGUGUACUCAUGAAUUGGCUUUCUCUCUUUCCCUGUCACAUUCUUCUCAGAAUCCCACUCCUGUGUGCUUGGAUUACUAACAAAAUUAACCUGCACACAAAUCAAGGUCUCAGGUUCUCCUUUCUGGAGGAAUCCAGGCUAAGACUAAUACAAUAUAGGGGGUUAAAAUAUUCUACACUUUUAAUCUACAAGGUCUAGCACACAAUUACAAAAAUGCUGGGAAGACAAAAAGGCAAGAUUAGAACAAAAACCAAGAAAAAAUACAGUCAACAGAAAUAGAACUACAGGGAAUUCAGAUAUUGGCAUUAUUUGACAGGGACUUUAAAAUAAUAAUUAUUAAAACACUCAAAGCACUAGGUGACAGGAUGAGGAAUUUUGGCAGGGAAUAACAAACUGUAGGAGAGAAUCAAAUAAAAUUUCUACUGAGAAAUGCUUGAAAAUGAGAGCUCAGUGGAUGUGUUUUUGAUAGUAGAUUAGAUGCAGCUGAAAAGAAAAUUAGUAAUCUGAAAAAUAAAUUAGAAGAACAUAUGUAAAUGAAGCAAAGAAAGAUAAAAGGUGGAAAAUGAAAGAACAUGAGACACAUAAUAAGAUGCAACAGUCUAAAACAUGGAAUUGGAAUCACAGAGGAGAGAGAGAAUAUGGAAGAAAUACGAUUAAAGAUAUUUGAUGAGAAUUAUUCAAAAAUGAUAAAAGACAUUCAUCCAUAUAUUAAAGAAGCUAUAAGAACCUUAUGCAGUAAAUACAAAGAAAAUCAUCCCUAGUCAUAUCAUAGUCAAACUGCUUAAAGCUAAAGACAAAGAGAAAACCUUAUAAAGCAUCC